GUGGGGAAUCUUGCGCAAUGGGCGAAAGCCUGACGCAGCAACGCCGCGUGAGUGAUGAAGGUCUUCGGAUCGUAAAGCUCUUUCGGCAGGGAAGAACGGCUUCCGGGUGAACAAUCCGGGGGCGUGACGGUACCUGCAGAAGAAGCACCGGCUAACUCUGUGCCAGCAGCCGCGGUAAUACAGAGGGUGCAAGCGUUGUUCGGAAUUAUUGGGCGUAAAGCGCGUGUAGGCGGGAUGGCAAGUCGGGUGUGAAAGCCCUCAGCUCAACUGAGGAAGUGCGCCCGAAACUACCGUUCUUGAGUGCCAGAGAGGGUGGCGGAAUUCCCGGUGUAGAGGUGAAAUUCGUAGAUAUCGGGAGGAACACCAGUGGCGAAGGCGGCCACCUGGAUGGACACUGACGCUGAGACGCGAAAGCGUGGGGAGCAAACAGGAUUAGAUACCCGGGUAGUCC
rnacentral:rRNA from 1 species